UACGAAGGGGGCUAGCGUUGUUCGGAAUUACUGGGCGUAAAGCGCGCGUAGGCGGCUUUGCAAGUCGGGUGUGAAAUCCCCAGGCUUAACCUGGGAACUGCAUUCGAGACUGCAUUGCUAGAGUAUGGGAGAGGGAAGUGGAAUUUCCGGUGUAGCGGUGAAAUGCGUAGAUAUCGGAAGGAACAUCAGUGGCGAAGGCGGUGCUCUGGGCCGGAACUGACGCUGAGGAGCGAAAGACGUGGGGAGCAAACAGG
rnacentral:rRNA from 1 species